GAUGAAGAACGUAGCGAAAUGCGAUAAGUAAUGUGAAUUGCAGAGUUCAGUGAAUCAUCGAAUCUUUGAACGCACAUUGCGCCCGCUAGUAUUCUGGCGGGCAUGCCUGUCCGAGCGUCAUUUCAACCCUCAAGCCCCCGGGCUUGGUGUUGGGGAUCGGCGAGCCUCCGCGCCCGCCGUCCCCUAAAUCUAGUGGCGGUCUCGCUGUAGCUUCCUCUGCGUAGUAGCACACCUCGCACUGGGAAACAGCGCGGCCACGCCGUUAAACCCCCAACUUCUGAACGUUUGACCUCGGAUCAGGUAGGAAUACCCGCUGAACUUAGGCAUAUCAAUAAGCGGAGGA
rnacentral:misc_RNA from 1 species